AUUGAACGCUGGCGGCAUGCCUUACACAUGCAAGUCGAACGGCAGCACGGGUGCUUGCACCUGGUGGCGAGUGGCGAACGGGUGAGUAAUACAUCGGAACGUACCUUAUCGUGGGGGAUAACGCAGCGAAAGCUGUGCUAAUACCGCAUACGCCCUGAGGGGGAAAGCGGGGGAUCGAAAGACCUCGCGCGAUUAGAGCGGCCGAUGCCUGAUUAGCUUGUUGGUGGGGUAAAAGCCCACCAAGGCGACGAUCAGUAGCUGGUCUGAGAGGACGAUCAGCCACACUGGGACUGGGACACGGCCCAGACUCCUACGGGAGGCAGCAGUGGGGAAUUUUGGACAAUGGGGGCAACCCUGAUCCAGCAAUGCCGCGUGAGUGAAGAAGGCCUUCGGGUUGUAAAGCUCUUUUGUCAGGGAAGAAACACCGGCUCUAACACAGUCCGGGAAUGACGGUACCUGAAGAAUGAGCACCGGCUAACUACGUGCCAGCCGCCGCGGUAA
rnacentral:rRNA from 1 species